AUUGAACGCUGGCGGCAGGCCUAACACAUGCAAGUCGAGCGAGCGGCGGACGGGGGAGUAAAGUCUGGGAAACUGUCUGAUGGAGGGGGAUAACAUCUGGACAAGGUAGCUAAAACCGCAUACCAUACGAUGUGCCCAGAUGGGAUUAGCUAGUAGGUGGGGUAACGGUCUACCUAGGCGACGAUCACUAGCUGGGCUAAGAGGAUGACCAGCCACACUGGAACUGGUACACGGUCCAGACUCCUGCGGGAGGCAGCAGUGGGGAAUAUUGCACAAUGGGCGCAAGCCGGAUGCAGCCAUGCCGCGUGUGUGAAGAAGGCCUUCGGGUUGUAAAGCACUUUCAGCGGGGAGGCGUGACCCGCAGAAGAAGCACGGGCUAACUCCGUGCCAGCAGACGCGGUAAUAC
rnacentral:rRNA from 1 species